CUACACUCCUGGGUCUGAUGAGGGCAAGCUCAAUAAAGGACCAGUGGACCCAAGGAUCGGGCGGGAACUUAGUUUUCUCAUGGUGUACCUGUUUACCUUCCGUUGCCCUGGAUUUUGACUGCCUCCUUCGUUUCCUUGACUCCUCGCUUGCCCCUGGACUUUGACGCCUCUCUCUCGCCCCGGAUCACCUGCCUGCCCCAUGGACUGCCUCGUUUGCUCUCUUCAACACUUGGUAACACACUUCAGCUAACUACACACAUAGUCUUACACCACACACUCUUGUAUUCUAGUUCACACUUCAUUUCCUUAGUUCAGUAGUAUUGUUUAUUAUUAUUUAUAUAUAUAUAUAUAUUGACUAUAUAUAUAAUAAAUAAUUGUAUAUACUG